UAGUCCACGCCGUAAACGAUGAUCACUCGAUAUACGUCCUAGAGACGUGUGUCCAAGCGAAAGCAUUAAGUGAUCCACCUGGGGAGUACGUUCGCAAGAAUAAAACUUAAAGGAAUUGACGGGGAUCCGCACAAGCGGUGGAGCAUGUGGUUUAAUUCGAUACUAUGCGAGGAACCUUACCUAGGCUCUAAUGCAUUUUGACCCACACAGAAAUGUGUGUUUCCGCAAGGAUAAUUUGCAAGGUGCUGCAUGGCUGUCGUCAGCUCGUGCCGUGAGGUGUUUGGUUAAGUCCUAUAACGAGCGCAACCCUUAUGCUUAGUUGCCAGCGCGUAAUGGCGGGAACUUUAAGCAGACUGCCUGCGAAAGCAGUGAGGAAGGAGAGGAUCAAGUCAAGUCAUCAUGGCCCUUACGCCUAGGGCUACACACGUGCUACAAUGGCAUGUACAGCGGGUCGCUACCUGGCAACAGGAUGCUAAUCUCCAAAACA
rnacentral:rRNA from 1 species